AAAACGGCGUGUCGUUGAUUAUCCCGGUUCUACCUCCAACAAAGAAAUGAAGAACUGAAGCACUGUUUUGUUUGCCUCCGAAUUUAGUGUCGUAGUCCCUAUCCGACUUCCUCGUUUAACAGCCACCACAACAAAGUUUUACUCCUGUUUUUCCCUCCGGCAUGGAGCUCUCAUUCUCUCCCUCCACUUCCCUUGGAUUUCCAACUACAAUCCCCCCUUGCAGAGCUUCCUCUCAUCAUCAAACUAAGCUACCCAUUAAGCCCCCAAUCAAAUCCUCCUUUUCUUUCUCUAAAUUCUCCACCUCCCACCCAGUUGGUUUCUACAGUUACAGGCAAAGUUGCUCAGUUCCUCCUCUGUCAAAUAGCCACCGGAGGAACAAUUUCAUCCGGGCAUGCACUCAAGUGGGAGCUGCUGGAUCUGAUCCACUACUGAACAAAGUUUCAAAUCUUAAAGAUGCUUUCUGGAGAUUUUUAAGGCCCCAUACGAUACGCGGAACAGCUCUGGGAUCAUUUGCUUUGGUGGCAAGAGCAUUGAUUGAGAACUCAAAUUUGAUAAAGUGGUCUCUGCUGUUUAAGGCAUUCUCUGGUCUCUUUGCUCUAAUAUGUGGCAAUGGUUAUAUUGUUGGCAUCAAUCAGAUUUACGAUAUCGGAAUUGACAAGGUAAAUAAACCUUAUUUACCUAUAGCUGCAGGGGAUCUCUCAGUUAAAUCGGCAUGGUUCUUGGUGAUAUUUUUUGCAGUGACUGGCCUGUUGAUUGUUGGACUAAAUUUUGGGCCAUUUAUUACUUCUCUCUAUACUCUUGGUCUCUUACUUGGUACCAUCUAUUCUGUUCCUCCCUUUAGAAUGAAGAGAUUUCCUGUUGCUGCGUUUCUUAUAAUUGCUACGGUACGGGGAUUCCUUCUCAACUUUGGUGUAUAUUAUGCGACGAGAGCUGCCCUUGGUCUUGCAUUUGAGUGGAGUGCACCAGUGGCUUUUAUUACUACUUUUGUGACAUUGUUUGCUCUGGUGAUUGCUAUAACAAAAGAUCUUCCAGAUGUUGAGGGAGACCGCAAGUUUCAGAUAUCAACUUUUGCAACAAAACUUGGAGUUAGGAAUAUCGCAUUCCUUGGCUCUGGCCUUCUGCUGCUAAAUUAUAUUGCCUCUAUAGCAGCGUCAAUCUACUUGCCUCAGUUUAUUACUUGCAGGCUUUCAGGCGCAACUUAAUGAUACCCACUCAUACAAUCUUGGCAUUGAGCUUGGUUUUCCAGGCUUGGGUAUUGGAACAGGCAAAUUACACCCAGGAAGCAAUAGCAGCCUUCUAUAGAUUUAUAUGGAAUCUCUUUUAUGCCGAGUAUAUUAUAUUCCCUUUCAUCUAGCAAAUUUAUUUUUCAUUUUCCUGAUCCUAUACUAUUGAGAGAAAGAGAGGAAUAUCCAAAUUUGUACUGCAUGAAUUGUAAAUAUUGGCCUAGCAGUUUAUCUGUAAAAUGUAUCCAGAAGCAGUUUAACA